GAAGCAUCGAAAUGGGUGAAAUGGCAAUUCUUCACAUCCAUUGUACUUGUUCUGCAAUGCUCCCCGUUCCUAUUAACGUGGACAGAUUUUCUGCUUGGUAACUCACUUGACAGGGGCCAGUUUCCGUGCCGCAUGCUGAACGCGGCGACAGUGGGCCUCCAUCUGGGCAGCUCUCGCGCUCAAGAGGGCGAUCUUUUCUUCCGCUUGCCGAAUGGUCAACAUGUUCGUUGUAGAUACUUUCGAGCUCUCUUGUGCCUUCUCAAUGUUCCGUUGUAGGAGCCGGCUACGAGCCAAAAUCAGCUGAACGACGAAACAACGACCGACAGUGUAAACGCAUAGGCACGAAUUAAAAUUUUUUUCGGGUAGCCGCCGCCUUCUGCAGUGGUGACGCCCUCGGACCUAGUCAUGGCUUUUAGUGGCCGACGACCUCUUGUUCCGGUGCUCAACCUAUUUGCUAACAUUGAGCGGUCCGUCAAGAAAACAGGCUUUCGUCCCCAAUCAUAACUGUCUUAUGUUGGCUGAGGAGCCAUCGUGACGCACUAACAGAACGGCGCCAGCAAUUUCCCCUUCAGUUUGAUGGAUGGCGAACUUGCAUGUAGGAUGUCUGCUACCAGCGUCCCUGCAGCCGGUUCUUGUUUCUGCUGUUGAUGGUUGCAGACCACUGUCACGCUAACUGUUGCACCCACCUGCUUGAACCGGUCACGCCGGGCCUCCAGCACCUCCCUGUGUUUAUUGCAGGCAUCCAUGCGACCAAGGAAGUCGGCCUUCGUCUUGGUAAGCAGCCGCUGGACGUUGUCGAACUCCCGCUCCUUGACAGACACGAGGAAAGCAAAUGAUUCUCCAGCUGCGCAGUGGCAUUGAAGAGCGACACCGCUGGUCUCCGGUUUGCGGGGAAUGAGAUGCAAGUUGGCCCGACAAGAAAUGACAGUGGACGAAGCACCUGCAUCGGCGGCGCUACUGCCCGCAACUGCACAGCAUGUCUGCUGUCAAUUCAGCUUAGAAAAGGGUUUAGAAGACGGAAAGGAGACGUCUUAUUCUCACAUCUCACGGACUGCACGGACGAAUGUAUUAUCUUGAAGCUGACGUUUUACGCUGAUGCCGCCACGAGUUGGGUUGUCUUCCGGGGACAUACCCAUGGAAGUCAGCUUUUACUUUAGGCUAACAAAUGUUUCUUCGUGUGGAGUGCUCCGAAGGGCCACACCCCGGCACUAUCCAAAACAAUCUCCGACUGAUUUGAGAACAAUUUCGAGAACACACUAGACGCGCAUGAAGGCAGUAAAAGUGCUGCUUCAAGGGGCAAAAAUCUAGAGGUCAAAUGCAGCGGUUGUUGCAGGCUCCUACAGGGAAACUCGCAUGUACGACUGUUUUUGCGUGCGGUGCUCACAGAAAGUACCGAGCCCAGAAAUAACGUUGCAACUACAGAGAAGAGACAGUCAUACACGCUGAUUUCAACUCGGUGGCUGUAAGGGUCAAGAGCGUAUUAUGUGAAAAUUCAGUCAGUAGAGAGGUUGAACCUACGGAAACACAGGAUAGACGAAUGGAGUUAUACCAAAACUGGAGCAUCAGAAAAUCGUAGAUGCAUGCCCCGUAAGAAUUAGUUUUCAGUUGGGUUUAGGAUCGGAAAGCAAUACCUUUGAGCAUUUCCAGUUUUGCUUUCAUUGCUUCGAUGUUCCUGUCGAGUUUCGUCUUUUUCACUGCUGUUCGGCACUCCCCAUCAGGCGUGCUGCUGCCAGGUGAGGAGAGUGUUGCUUCGCUUGCUGAUGGUCUGAUGAUAGCCCAAGAAGUGUUUUGAACAUUCCAUUUUGCCACCGUCGCAAGCCUUGGCGACGACACGUCUUCAGUUGCCCCUCCAUGAGGCUGCGUGAGGAACGCAGGAGCGAAGUCUUCGUGGUGCCCUCCCAGUUCUGUGGCUGACUGUGAUGUCUGAAGUCUACAAGGGAUAUGCAUUGACAGCAGCGGCUGUCGCCGCCGGAAUCGUGCCUGCUUCGACGGUUCAUUUAUCAAAUUUUGCUGGCGAG
rnacentral:lncRNA from 1 species